GUAGUUGUGACCAGAUACCUGAAAGCCACCACAGAAAGGGUUUAUUUUGGUUCAUUUUGGCAGUCUCAGUCUGUUCUGGUGGCAUCCAUGGUGUGGCCCAUGCUCCUGGGACCCCUCGCAUGUGGCUGACAAGGAGUCAGAGAGCAGGGAGUGCUGGUCUGCCAGAGUUCUUUUCAGGGAAUAAUACCCACAACACCGAGUCUUCAGACAGCUUCCAACACCAGAACCAGAAGAUGGAAGAUGACAGCAGGUCCCAGACAGGAGCCUAGCAUGGCAGUCCUCUGAGAGGCCCCACCCACCAACUGACUCAGACAGAGGCGUAUACCCACAGUCAAACAGUGAAUAGAGUUUGGGGACUCUUCUGGAAGAAUAAGAGGAAGGAUUGCAGCUCCUCAGGGAAUAGGAACUCCACAGGAAGACCAACACAGUCAACCAACCUGGACCCUCGGGGCUCUCAUAGACUGAACCACCAACCAAAGACCAUACAUGGGCUGGACCUAGGCCUCCCUGCACACAUGUAACAGAUAUACAGCUUGGGUCUUCGUGUGGAUACUGGAUAACUGGAGCAGGGGCUAUCCCUAAAGCUGUUUCCUGUCUGUGGCAUAUGUUCUUCUAGCUGGGCUGCCUUGUCUGGUCUCAGUGGGAAAAGAUGCGUCUAGUCUCCCAGAGAGUUGGAAGUGCCGGGGUCAGUGGAUACCCUGGGGUGCCCCACCCACUCAGAGGAGAAAGGGAGAGAGGGUGGGGAAGGAUUGUGGGAGGGGUGACUGGGGGGGGGGGCAAUGAGUGGGAUGUAAAGUGAAUAAGUAAAAAAAAAUAAUAAAUUAAUUUUAAAAACACAGAAGGAUAUAAAAAAGACCCCCCCAGAGA
rnacentral:lncRNA from 1 species